AGAGAGGCUUAGUCGCGCGACUUGGUGAAGUGACCCCGCUUUCACACUAACCCCUCCGUUCGAUUUCGACUUUCGAGGGAAAUUGUGGAAGACUUCAGAUUAGGCUUUCCAAAUCACAUGACCGCCGACCCCACCCUUUUUGGGUCCGUUUUGUUUUCUGAAGCUAUUGCCUAUAAAUACGGCAUCUGCUCUUUUGUUUUUCUGCAGCGGAAGAAAGUGGUUCUCUCUCUCUCUCUCUCUCCCUGGAAGACGAGUAUAAGUAGGUGUAGAAGCGAGAUCUCUCUCAGUCUCCGCCGUUGUAUUUGAAGAGCACUACAAAACCUCUGCCAACAGAAAGAGAUGACUCAAGUGAGCGGAGAAACCGAUUCAGACAAAUCUCUACAAAAUGUCUUUUAAACAGGUAAUCACGCCACGGGAUCAGCCAUGUCAGUAAUGACACAGAGAAAGGACAAGAGCGCUGGACUGCGGCGCCGCAGGGCGAAGAGAAGGAGCCUUGUGGCUACAUUGGAGAAGCUGAGUGCAAUGACGUCAAAGAAGAGAGCAAAACUGGAACGCAUGAAGAAGAGGCUGAACAAAAUGAAAGCCCAAGUGGAAGAGAUGGGCGCCAUAAUGCUUAAGCAGAACAAGUUGGUGAUUGAGCAGAAUGUUGACAUCCAACUCUCCGUUGAUUUCAUGGUGCAUGCCUUCUUAGCUGGCUGCAAUGGUGGAGGCUGAUCACUGUCCCCAAACCCUAGCCUAUGCCUAUGUGUCCUUUUGGUGUGGAAUUUACUGUUUCUUUGAUUCUUGUGGAAGGAAGCUGAUGGCUGUUGGUUUCCGCAAAUCCUAGCCUAUGUGGUAGACAAUGAUUGAAGUUUGGUUGCCUUACAGUGGACUGCUGAAUAGGCUCUGGCUCCAUAUGAGAUUUUCCAUCCCUUAUAUUCCAUAAAGGUUGUCCAGUGGAAUGUGAUUUGAACUUCGAGACAAGUCGUACCUCAGAGUUUUUUUGGCUACGAAUGACUGCCGGUGCAUCUUGGAUUUAAAAUGAUAACUAAUGUUUGGCAGAACUUAUGAGCAGUAGAAAAUGCAUAUCCAACUUGGUGGUCAUGUAUGAGACAAUCUGGGUAGUUUAGCUGGCUGCAAGGUUCAUCUCCAUAUUCUGAAAGAAAUUCAGUUUGCGGAAGUUGAUACACAAGGUUAUGUCAGCAUUUGCAGACGUUGUAGAUGUUAAGGUAAAUGUAUAACCUGCAGACUGUAGUAUGUACUUACUGUUGAUCUGUUAAUCUACCGCCACUUAAUAAAUUAUUCGUUUUUUUA